GUAUGCCGUGUGGCCGCUACCUCGCAGGCUCUCCCGGUCCCUGCUGGCGCGGCAGUGCCGCGCGGUGGGUGAUGGGAGAGCGCGCCCAUUCCCACGCCGCGCCAAGUGCCACGGGAUCAGGCCGAGGCUGGACCCGGAGACGACAGCGAGGGCAGGCUACCAAGCCCUCCCCACAGGGCCGUGCCCAGCCCAAGCCUGCCGAGUCAGCACCCAGAUCCUGGGACAAGAUAGUGUAUGGUCUACUUGGUGAAAGUUCCAUGUGCAACUGAAAAGAAUAUGAAGUGUGAAACGUAUGUGAAGAAUGAUGGUGGGACUCUGGUAUAAUCAUCUUGGAAAAAGUAUUUGUCAUUCUUGUGUUAAACAUAUACCUACCUAUGACCUAGCCAUUUCACUCGUAGAUGUUCAUCCAAGAGAACUGAAAAUGUAUGUCUACACAGAAAGUUUUACAUUAACAUUCAUUGUAGCUUCAUUUGUAAUAGCCAAAAACAACCCACCAGUAGGUGAGUGGAUAAACAAAAUUGGCGUAUCUAUACAAUGGACCACCACUUACCAAAAAAAACAAAAAAGAAAAAAAAAACAGCUCCUGAUACUGGCUUUUUAGAUGUACCUCUUUGUAUUUUAGUGGUUGCUCUAGAAGUUUACAUUGUACAUCUUUAUUAUAACCUACUUACUGUAUAUCUUUAUUAUAACCUACUUACUACCUACACCUUAUAUGUACUACUUCCCAUUAAGUGUAAGAACCUUGCAUCUGUAUAAUUAAUUCCAUUGGCAACCAUGUUUUUGCUAUUGCUGUCAUAUGUUUUUCAUUAAUAUAAACCCAAAUAUACAUUGUUAUAAUUCUUAAGUAAUCAGUAUUGUUUAAAGAAAAUAAGAGAAGGAAAAAUACGGUAUUUUUCUUUACCUGUAUAUUCCCACUUCCUGUACCCUUCAUUUCGGUCUGUCCAUCUAAGUUUCCAUCUGGGAAAAUUUCCCUUCUGCCUGCAGAACUUUUUACUGCAGUUUUUGUAGUGCAGGUCUGCUGGUAAGGAGUGAUCUUGGCUGACUUUAUCUGAAAUGCCUUUAUGUCUGUUUAGGGUUUGAAAAGUAGUUCACUGCACAUAGAUCUUGGAGUUGCCUUCUUUUUUUUUUUUUUUUUUUUUUUUAAGACGGGGUUUCACCAUGUUGGCCAGGCUGGUCUCAAACUCCUGACCUCAAGCGAUCCGCCCACCUCGGCCUCCCAGAGGGCUGGGAUUACAGGUGUGAGCCACUGUGCCUGGCCCGGAGUUGGCUUUUUCUUCUUUCUGCCCAUACACUUUUUUCUGAUGGGAAGUUGCCAGGCGUGUACAACAUGUCCCGGCUGCUUUCAAGGUUUUCUCUUAAUCUUGGGGUGUCCAAGAGUUUGACUGUGAUAGGCCUGGCUGUGUUUCUUUAUCCUUAUAUUGCUUGGAGUUUGCUGUGAUUCUUUGAUGUUUGUCAACAAAUUCAUGAAACUUUAGGUCAUUGUUUCUUCAGUUUUUUUUUCCUGCCUCAUUCUCUCUCCUCUCCUGA
rnacentral:lncRNA from 1 species